rnacentral:rRNA from 1 species
GAUGAACGCUGGCGGCGUGCCUAAUACAUGCAAGUCGAGCGAACAGACGAGGAGCUUGCUCCUUUGACGUUAGCGGCGGACGGGUGAGUAACACGUAGGUAACCUACCUAUAAGACUGGGAUAACUUCGGGAAACCGGAGCUAAUACCGGAUAAUAUUUCGAACCGCAUGGUUCGAUAGUGAAAGAUGGCUUUGCUAUCACUUAUAGAUGGACCUGCGCCGUAUUAGCUAGUUGGUAAGGUAACGGCUUACCAAGGCAACGAUACGUAGCCGACCUGAGAGGGUGAGCGGCAACAAGGGAAAGGGAAACGGGACAAGAUGCCAAGGGGAGGAAGAAGAAGGAAAUCUCCAGAAAGGGGCAAAAGCAGGAGGGAGAAAGCCGGCGGGAGGGAGGAGGUUCUCGGAAUCUAAAAACUUUUUUAUGAGGAAAAAAAAAAGGGAAAAAAAAGGGGGCACGUCUGAAGGGAACAAAAUAAAAAAGCCACGACAAACAACGGC